rnacentral:lncRNA from 1 species
AUAACCGAAAGAAGAAAAACAUGAAAAAUAGACAGAAGAAAAAUGACGAUUACCCAAAAUAGAGAGCACUAGAUUACACUUUUGGCAUAAAGAUAUAGCUAAAUGAAUAGGUGCUCACACCAAACAAUUAAGGUGAGUCCUCAUUCGGCACUACGCUCCUACACUCUCCGACUCCUUAACUUUCUCUUCAAAAACCUCCCCGCAUCUCUCAAUCGAUUACUCCUCUAUCCA